UAAAGGUGGAACCUGUCUCAUUUAAAGGAGCUAUUUGGAAAUUUUGCUACACAGAGGAAAUGUUGUGAGCUCAGCAUCAAACUUAAAGGGAUCUCCAAGUUAUAUGAAAUAAGUCAUUUCAUUGAAAGGAAAUUCAUAUACAUAUGGUGCAGAUUUCAGAGGACUGCAGCAGCAAGUUCAGCCCAAGAGCAGGCCAUUUGAUGUAAAAGAAAUCUCCAUGAUGCCCAAACUUUCAUCAGAGGAUUUGAAGUUGCUCAAUGUGGGAACUGCUGCCUGCCAACCUGUGGCCAAACUGCAUUUUCCCUCCUGCAGAGAUCUCCUCCAGCUUUCAGCACCUUUAAGCUUAAUGGAGCAACAAGAAAAAGAAGAAGCCACAAACAUGUCCACAUCCGCUUAAUGUUUGCCCCUGGGGCCAAUUUAAGUCUUGUCAAAGAUUUUCUUCCCAGUUUUGACUUCUUCUUCU